AGAACCGCGCAUGCGCAGGCACGGGAGGGGCGGGAGGCCCCCGCCGGCGGGCUCGCACCUGCCCUUGCGCAUGCGUGCAGCGCCUCCGUGCAGUACUGCGUUGUGAGCGAGAGAGGGCAGCAGUGAGCGUGGCGGCGCCGCUGCGCAUGCGUCGGCCUGCAGGCGGCGCUACUGCGCCGUGACGAAGYGAUGGCGCCGGUCAGCAAGGUGGCCGGAUGCAGCCAGGCAAGCGAGGCUUCCUGCGGAGCUUGGGGCCUGGCUAGCAAUGGCAGUGCCGUGCUGGCCGGGCUGCUGGUCUCUCUACCCCCCCUGCACGGGCUUCAGGGCCGCCCUGUGAGCGGCCGAGGGGGGGGGGCGGGCAUGCAUUGCUGAUACGCUCACAGCAACCCCUUUUAAUUUGACUAAAUUCUGUCGUGUAACAAGCAGAAUUUGGUUCUUGUGGAAUGCUUUGCUAAUGAUGAGCUAUACUCUGAGCUACUGAACAUCAUAUUUUACAAAAUAGCRAGUUCUGACUAUGCUUGUUCGCUACUGACCCCAAAAGAGACUGCUUGCACAGAUUAAGAUUGACAGCAAAAUACUAAAAUAGAAAUGUGAUUAUUAUGAAGUACAGCACCACAGGCAAUCUAAGGAAGCCAAAGUCUAUGAAAAAAAAGCAUUUCAUUUUGCCCUCCGGUUCAAGCCAGUCCCUUAGAAAAAUCUGUAUCAGACUUCUAAAAUAGUAUGCUGUUUUUUUUCUUUUGGUAUCUGAAAAUACUGAUGUUUAUACAGAGUUCUAGCCUGAAAUGAAUUGCAUAAUAUUUACAAAUUUCAAAUCUAAAAAUUGAUUGAGAAUCAUAUGUAAGCAGGGAAGGCAAAUGUAACAGAAGCAAAGGAGAAACAUCAAAGAUCCUUGCCAUUCAUUAGUAAAACUCUUGAGAUGUGUAUAUAUAUGAUUGCUCAUUCACAUAAUGACUGAAAAUUACCUAGUGCUUUGCUCCUUUUACCAGGAGUCUUCAAACUAGUAUUUUAUGAAGUUGAGGUAGGAAACAUACCAUUAAUUUGAGAUGU
rnacentral:lncRNA from 1 species